AAUCGUUCAGUUGUCCCAAAACCACCGAUCCCAAAUCCAUCUACUCUCUCUCUCUCUCUCCCCUUUGCCUCCAUUGCCGUUAGGCUCCAUCGUCGGCCAUAUCUCAUCCUCGCCUUCACCGGAGAGUUUCGCCGCCCGAUGUUCCUCACCGGUCAUCUAUCUCUGUCUCACCUCUCUUCAGCAAGGGAUUCACUGUCAAUUUGCAAGAAGGAUCACCAGAAAUUUUCUCCGACAAUCGAUGGGAAGGGACCGGAGACAAUUUUCUAUUUGGAAGGAUCCGGCGCUCUCACCGAUCUGCUUCGUCGCCGAUUUCUCUCUCUCGCUCUAACUUCCUUUUUCCUCCAUUGUCACGAUCAACAUGACCGAAGGAGCCGAUCUGACGAUCUUCGUACGUUUCUGUGCUUGAAAAGAAGAGCCAUGUCGAUUCGGUUCUCAGACCGCAGCUCUCUCAGCUAUCCUUCUUCGACUCUAAAAGCUUCCACCGCCGCCUCGACGCCGCUCUCUGCCGGCGAUUCGUCGGAACUUCCGUCUUUGCAAUUAGUUCCUCCGCCGCUCCUCAGCAGUCCUCGAAGGAUUCAACGUCUCUAGUAGUGAUUCCAAAAUGUGGCCUCCAUUGGCGGUUUUGGAAGAUUCUUAGCAAGCAAUCCAUGAACCAUCAGCUUUGAAGAUUUACAGGUUCAUUUCUCUUUUCUUCAUAU